GUACUACGAUGUAUAUUCCUAGCUCAUGCUAUGCAAGUUGUUUGCAGGACUGUUCGAUCAAGUGCUGCUCUUGCCCUUGGUAAACUAAGUGCACUCACAACUAGGAUUGGUAAGAUCUGUGUUAGGUUCUAAUACCUGGUUUUUGCCCCCGGAAAGUUCUUCAACCUGUGUUUCCUAUGUUCCUCCAGAAGCUGCAAAGGGAGAGGUAGCUAAAGAUGAGGUUGAGAUGGAUGGAUUUCAAAGUGAUGAUGAUGACGAGGAGUCUGAUAGUGAAAUGGCAGAUGAUGAUGAGGGAUGGAAAUGAAGCUAUGAUCCGAGGAUAAGCUGAAAGAUUUAUGUUCGUGAACCAGCACCCCCAUUUAUUUCAAUUUGCAAAAAUGAUGAAGAAGAUCGAAUCUAGUACAAGGGAAAUGUCAAUGCCAUGCAUGAAUUGUUCCAUGUCAAUGCCAUGCAUGAAUUGUUCCAUGCCACAUCAGCUAUGUCGACCAACAGCUACUGAAAAUAUCACAACCUUGGUGGUGGCUUCGUCUCUUCUCUCUAUGGAUCUGCGGCUAUGUCGACCAACGACUACUGAAAAUAUCAGUUGCAACCUUGGUGGUGGCUUCGUCUCUUCUGUCUAUGGAUUUGGAAGAAGUGACUCCUGACGGGGAAGCUAAUUUGGGAUGCUGUAAGAAAUUGUCCUCACUCCAUGGUUUGCUCUACUCUGUGAAUAUCAACUUCGUUUAUACUUUUGGUUUGCCUCAAUUAAGUUUCAUUGACAAAGCCAACGUAGUUUCACUGACUGCUGAGAUUAUUCAACGGGAGCAUGCACCCUUCAGCAACAAAAAAUAACUUCUCAGAAAAUAGCCCAAUGAACUGAUGCUAAUUGCUAAGAAGCACCAGACAGCUAAACAAUAGCAAGUAUGAUCUCAAACCCCUCUGCAUUGAAGUCAAAUUCUGAAUCACAAGUGAAAAGCAUUUAAUCCAGCUAGUGCAAGAAGGAACACAUGUAAAUUACAUCUGAAACUCCAAAUUUUGCUCAAUAAAAUCAAGCUAUAAGGAGGCAAAAACUUGAAGAGGGGAAAGCUAGACAGUUUUGCUUAUAUCCUUAGCAUCAAACCCCAAACUUUGCUCCAUAAAACAAGACCUGGGAAAUUUACCGGCGACACUUUCACUUCAACUGCUGAAACACGUACCGAAGACAGAAUGGGGAGGACCAGUUAAAAUACCUGGUUUUGCCCCCGGAAAGCUCUUCAACCUGUGCUUCCUAUGUUCCUCCAGGGUCUCUUGGAUCUGCUGAAUUAUAACAGAAAGCAGCUUUGGGCCGUGGAGAGUUAAUUGAAGUGAGAAGUGAGCAAGCAUUAAAGGAGUUUUUCAUUCCAAUCACAGGGGUCCCAUGGCAAGUUAAAAGUGCAAUUCUCGCUGUGUUGAAAUGACGGACAACGAGUUGGCUUAUUUGGAGUGCAUCCACUUGUUUGUGGAGAUACUGGAUCACUUUUUUAGUAAUGUCUGGGAGUUAGAUUUGGUUUUUAACUUUCACAAGGUAUAUAUAAUCUUAGAUGAAUUCAUUCUCGCUGGGGAGCUCCAAAAAACAAGCCAGAAGGCUAUCAUAGAGAGGUUGAAUGAAUUGUGGAGAAGUUGGAGUGAAGAUUGAUGAUCCAUGAUGGCCAACCUUCAUCCAUAUUCCAAAGUCUAUAUAGAGAGAACUCAGAGAAAACCUGAAAUUGAUGGGACAAAAACAUAGAAGAUAGUGACAUCGAGUCUGCACCUAAGCUCAUCGAAGUUCCAUUCCAAAACUGCAAAGUACAGGUCGAUCACUGGGUUGAGCCAUAUCUCAGAAUCUCAAUUGAAUGUCUGCAUCGAAGUGAAACACCAUACUUGAAGUGCCUCCUGAUCCAAGUGAUUGCUGAUGCUCUUUACUAUAACCCUUCAUUUACACUGAGCAUACUGCUUGGUGUUGCUACAGAGAUCUUCAAUCUUUGGUUCCAUAUGCUACAACAAACUAAAAAAAGUGAAGCUCGGGCUAAUUCUAAAAGGGAGCAUGAGAAGAAGGUUUGCUGCUUGGGUUUGACAUCAUUGCUCAGUCUUCCUGCUGAUCAAAUGCCAGCAGCAACCUUAGAGGGCAUUUUUAAGGCCAUUCUUGAC